ensembl:lncRNA
GGGUGGGGUAGGCGGGGAGAGCUGCCACUGGAUCUGCUUAAUCUGGAACCAGGGUCAAAGCAGUGACUGUCGGAAGCCACCAGGCCAAGAUGUCUUUCUAUCAUGGCUGGUGUCUUAUCACCAUACCCAGAGAGGGCUUCCCUUGGAGCUCUAGAAAGACGAUGACAGCAAAAAGAAACUGUUCUGUUGAUGGCUCUGGAGAGGCCCCCUGGAACUCUAGUUCUCAGCAGCCAACUCUGGUGAUGGAGGAUGGGAUUUAAAUGGUGGACACCUAAAGGAGAAGAAAGCACAAAAGAAUGUCCAAUCAAGAAUACGGGGCAGAAAUAAAAUGGGAGAAUAUGACUCAGGUAUUGUUCUCCUAAAUUCUCCCAGGGCCUUUGCAUAUACUGUUUCCAACGUGUGGAACCUGGAAGGAGGUCAGUUUUUCUUGUUGUGUUCUGAUACAGUGCUUGUACUUCUCUUUCUAGCAUUGUCACUGUUGAAUUUAUGUGUUCAAGUGGUCCUUUGAUUAAUGUCCUGUCUUGCUAAAUAGCUGUAACCUCCAUGAAGGCAAGAACUGUUCUGCUGACUGUUGUUGCUCAAGGGCAUGGGGCCUGAGCCCUGCUAGAUAUUCCAUAGGUAUUUCAUGGAUGACUGCUUGAAGGACUUUUAGAACAUGUUCCCAAGUAAGAACAAGUGAACUACAGUACAUAAUUCUCCUAAUCUUGGGCUGUGUGUGUGUGUGUGUGUGUGACUGUGCUGGGUCUUCGUUGCUGUGCACGAGCUUUCUCUAGUUGUGGCCAAGUGAGGCUCCUGCAGUGGCUUCUCUUGUUGCAGAGCAUGGGCUUUAGAUGUGCAGGCUCAGUAGUUGUGACUCGUGGGCUGUAGAGCUCGGGCUCAGGAGUUGUGGCGCACGGGCUUGGAUGCUCUGUGGCAUGUGAGAUCUUCCUGGACCAGGGAUCAAACCAUGUCCCCUAUACUGGCAGGUGGAUUCUUUAACACUGAGCCCCCAGGGAAAUCCCUAACCUCAGGCUUAUAUUUCAUUGUUCUGUGUAAAGACCUUUUUCUGACACCACACUAGCAUGCUGGGAGCAUUGACACCAGAUUCAGCAUGGUAACUGACCACAUUGGGACUUCAUGAGGAAGGGUAGUGAAGACUUCUUAAGUCAGUCAGAAUCCUGCCCUCACAGAACAAAAGACACACAACUCCUUUGACUUCCCUGAAAUUGUCAAAAGGUUUGUUCUUACCUCAGAGGUCUUGCAUCUCAGAGUGGUUGCCACUACUAUGCAAAUAUCAUGGUGCUCUGACUCCAACUUGGAGAAGUUCUGGGUGGUGAUCUCUACACUGUACUACACUCUUCCCUGUUUCCUUUGAUGGGAGAUUUUAGGCCUGGUGUAAUCAAGGUAAUCACAAAAUCUAUGGCAGUUAUAUUUGGAUGUUACAGAGCUGCUCAGUGUGGCCAACAGGAGAUACGUGGGAGUGUGAUAUGGUGGCUUCAUUAAAAGACAUUUGGGAUGUGCUGCAUGGCACAGAGCACUGUAUUCAAUAUUUUACAAUAUCUAUAAUGGAAAACAAUCAUAUAGCUGAAAUCAGUGCAGUAACUGUCUUUCAAUGACUGGCUUCUUACACUUAGCAUCGUGUCCUAAGGUUCAUCCAUGUUGUCACAUGUUACAGGAUUUCCUUGUUUCCUAAGGCUGAAUAAUCUUUAUUGUAUGGAUAUAUCAUAUUUUCUUUGUUUAUUCAUCCAUCAAUAGACAUUUAGGUUGCAUCCUCAUCUGCCUAUUGUGAACAGUGCUGCAGUGAACAUGGAGUGCUAAUCUCUCUUUGAGAUCCUGAUUUCAGUACUUUUGGAUAACUGUGCAGAAGUGGGGUUGCUGGAUCAUACAGUAAUACAACUCAAUAGCAAAAAAACCACCCUAAUUACCCAAUUUAAAAAUGGGCUAAAGACUUGAAUAGACACUUCUUUGAAGAAGACAUACAGAUGGGCAACAGAUGUGUUUCUUUAAGAAGAGGGCAGUUGGACUUCCCUGGUGGUACAGUGAAUAAGAAUCCACUGGGGACAUGGGCUCGAUUCCUAGUCUGAGAAGAUUCCACAUGCCAUGGGCAACUAAAGCUUUUGUACCACAACUACUGAGCUCUAGGGCCAGAGAGCCACAGCUAAUGAGCCUCUGUGCUGAAGCCCUCGAAUCCUAGAGCCUGCCUGCUGCUAAUACUGAAGCCGGUGUGCCUAGAGCCUGUGCUCCGCAAGGAAGAGCAGCCCCUGCUCGCUGCAGCUAGUGAAAGCCCUUGCACAGAAAUGAAGAUCCUGUGCAACGAAAAAUAAAUAAUAAUGAAAAAAAGGAAAAAACCAGUUAUUUCAAAUUUGCUGGCCUCUUGCUUGUGACUGUCUGUGUGUGUGAGCUCACACGGAAGCACACACACAUCCCCACACCCACUCCCCCCUGCACACACAUAUAUAUACACACACACACACACACAAUGUAUCCCUUCAGGUAAAGGUGAUGUUUUGGGAGUUAAUAUGACUGUGCUUUAAAAUAAUCAUGUUAUGGGGAAAGCAUUUUGAAAAUUGAUGUUUGGAACUGUUUCUAUUAUUAUGUGAUUUUAAUGCCAAAAUGAAGUGUCUCAUUGCCAACUAUAGAGACUGGCAUAGCCACAGCCUCCAAAAUUAAGAAGUACACUUUUAAAACCCAUUUUGCAUUCUUCCAAAUGAAGAGUUUCUGGAGUUUAAAAAAUCCCAUUGUUAAAAAUAUCCCCAGAAACAACUGAUGAAAAUGAAACGGCUUCUAAAACAUCAACCAGCUUAUACUGGUUUUUGCCUCCCCAACCAGCUUAAACUGGUUCUGCUUCCUUCAAAUAAGUUCAUUAAUCAAACCUUGACUUAUUUUACAGAGACAACAGUGCAAGAUGGGAAACCAUCUCUCCAGGAUGACCCCCAACCAAGAAUCUUCAGUCUACAGAACUCAAAGAAUCAAAAGGUUGCCACUGGAACCCUUAACAAAGCAAAGAACUAAGUCAUUCAAUAAGGAAAACCUGGCUUCCAGUAGCAUGACUAGCUUAUAUGUUCUGAUUCAAGACUAGCCAAUCAGCUUCCAAGUUUGAAAUUCCCCUAACCCCUUAAAUUUUAUUUAAACCAACCCUGGAUCAUGGAGACAGAUUUGAGAGCUUUGUCUCCUGUCUCUCUGCUGGUUAACCUCACAAUAAAGAUUUUUUUCCCCCUCAAAACCAGUGACAUAUUAUUGGCUACUAUACACAUCAGGCAUUGAACACUUGCUUGAUAACAAAAACAUCAGGAAUGAAGGCUUCAUGGACAAAGAAGGGUUUUCUGGGGGAACGUCACAUUUGCAAAACUGAUAUUAGAUGGAAUUUAAGCAGUGAGAAUUAUGGUUUAAUAAGUGUAGUGAAAGAUAAAAUUCUUCUAUUUGGGUGUAUUUAUCUUUGUGAGGUUUUUGUUUUGCAAUAAUAGCCAUUAGGACUA